GUGCCAGCAGCCGCGGUAAGACGAACCGUGCGAACGUUGUUCGGAAUCACUGGGCUUAAAGGGCGCGUAGGCGGGCUGCCAAGUCUGGGGUGAAAUCCCACGGCUCAACCGUGGAACUGCCUCGGAUACUGGCGGUCUCGAGGGAGGUAGGGGCAUGCGGAACUGUGGGUGGAGCGGUGAAAUGCGUUGAUAUCCACAGGAACUCCGGUGGCGAAAGCGGCGUGCUGGACCUCUUCUGACGCUGAGGCGCGAAAGCUAGGGGAGCAAACGGGAUUAGAUACCCCGGUAGUCCUAGCCCUAAACGAUGGGUACUAGGUAGUAGACUAGACAUGGGUUUACUGCCGAAGCAAAAGUGCUAAGUACCCCGCCUGGGGAGUAUGGUCGCAAGGCUGAA
rnacentral:rRNA from 1 species